AUGCCCUGCCGCACUGGACUUUUGGUUGAGAUCUGUAGUUUCUGUUACUUUGGCAGAUUAACAAUGGCAAGGAUACCAAGACGACUACGGGACUUGGACCUUACAAUGCAUGAUCCAGAACAUGUGCAGCUUGGUGAAGAAAAUCUGCAAGGUCCUCCAGAGAUUGAUAAUAUAGUACCAGGAAGAUCUCAUGAAUCCACUAGCCAAAUCAAGAUAAUUUGUAAGUCUCGAUGUGCAGGAGCCACGAACUACUAUGCAGGAGCUGCAACAAACCAAAUCAAAAGAGGGUUGUGGCAGUGCGCCUUUACCACAUGA
rnacentral:rRNA from 1 species